CAGUAGCCGCGGUAAUACGUAGGUGGCAAGCGUUGUCCGGAAUUAUUGGGCGUAAAGCGCGCGCAGGCGGCCUAUCCAGUCUGUCUUAAAAGUUCGGGGCUUAACCCCGUGAUGGGAUGGAAACUGCUGAUCUAGAGUAUCGGAGAGGAAAGUGGAAUUCCUAGUGUUGCGGUGAAAUGCGUAGAUAUUAGGAAGAACACCAGUGGCGAAGGCGACUUUCUGGACGAAAACUGACGCUGAGGCGCGAAAGCGUGGGGAGCGAACAGGAUUAGAUACCCCGGUAGUCCCUGUCUCUUAUACA
rnacentral:rRNA from 1 species